CCCGAAAUUGCUCAGUUGGGCGAACUUUAGACUAUAGAUCGAAAGGUCCCUGUUUCGAUCCCGGGUUUCGACA
rnacentral:tRNA from 1 species